GAACCGCACUGAUAAUAAUAAAUACGAUAUUUCGUUUAUAUACUCUUUAGCGAGUCACAGAAAAUCGGAGGCCCCGACUGUUUACUAAAAACACAAUUUUCAGCAAUGAUGAAUAUCAUAGUAUUGGAGAUGAAAUUUGCUCGAUGCCAAUAAUAUAACCUUUCCACCUCAAUUAUUCUAACCUUGGAUUUACGAUUUUUAAUUCUAACUCUAAACUUUCUCCCCCCCUCUUUAUACUACUAAUGAGGGUAAUUAUUUUAGAUUAACUAAAAUAAUAACGAAAGUAAACUAUGCGUAUGGACAUUUAGACCACUUGUAAUGGGAAACUUUUACACCAUACAAAAACAACCAACGGUACAAAAACAGGAUCCUGUUUUAGUAACUGUUUUUGUAACUGUUUUUGUAACUGUUUUUGUAACUGUCUUUAUGCGGUUAAUUGGACUCAUAGAGAUUAUGAGUUGGCGGCUUGAACUAGUCUAAGUUUAUUUGUACCUUCAUGACAGAACUUGUUUAUUUAGAAUUUACUUGUAUUUUUCAAUAUUAAUAAUAGGGAGAGAGGGAAGUUCUGGUGAAUGGCGGUCUUGAACUAUGAGGAUCCAAAGGUAGCAAAAUAAAUUGGCCAUUAAAUGUGGUCCGGUAUCAAUACAUGUACACGAUGGCCUCACUGUCUCUACAACUUGCUCAGUGAAAUUGAAUUGCACGUGCAGA
rnacentral:rRNA from 1 species